AAGUACCGCGGUGGGACAUCUGAGGUUGGAGGGUGGUGAUGGCUUGCCUCGACUGUGGGGUGUCACCAUAACCCUUCUGAGAUGUUUGCAUGAACUUCUGUAGAAGUAAUGACUGGCAGCUGCCAAGGGAAGAUGAGACCUAUAGGCAUGGCCUCAGGCAAGCUUGAGUUUAAAAGGAUGAGUAGGGAGAUGGAGUGGAGUAGGUCCUUAGUUCCCCUCCUGUUUUGGUAGUUGUGGAGUCUGGGAGGACAGUCAAAGGCAUCCCUACAGAGUCCUUGCUGCGUCUGGCUCCUUGUGUCCCUGGAGGGAGGCAGCUAGUGAACUCCACCCUGGAGAAGGGCUGCACGUCCUUCCUCACGUGGUUCCUCCAUUUGUUUCCUACCUUUGCUGACACCUGCUGGUUGCCAGGUCUUGGGCUGGGACUAGCCGACCCACUGAUAGAGCAGACAAAGUAUGUACCCUUUGGGACCCCAAGUUGACAUUUUGUGCAAAGCAGAUAAUGCUGCCCCGUUAGCUUUGUCAUUCCAGAAGCAGCGUGGGUUUCAGACACCACCUCCCAUUAAUGCUGGCUAGAAGCGGGAACAUCCCUUUCACACUAGCUGUUUCCAGGGAGUUUAAGCUUUGAGAUCUCAGGUCACGGUAGAGAAGUGGCUCUCAAGCUCAGUGGGGUUGCUGCAAUGUCUAGGCCUCCCACUGAAUCCCUCCUGUGACAGGCCUGAGGAAUGGCUUUUCUAGAAGUUUCCGUGUGAGGACUGUGAGGCUGGCCCAGGGUCAGUUACCAAGAAGGUCGUCUUUACUGUUAGACAGACUUCCCACCAUGCUUGUUUGCCAAAGCUUGAGUUUCCUCUGCUAACAAUACUUCAGGUUCUGCUGAGCCCUUUGAGCGCCUAGUUCAGAGGCUUGCUGAGUAUCCUAUGGCUGAGAAUUUUUGUGCUCUACCAACGUUAGAUGCGACCCUUGCACCAACUUGAGGUUCACCAGCCGCGUUUACUUUCUGGUGGAGGAGAAGCCAAACUGAGUCUGAGUCUGCCCUGCUCUUGUAGUGUCUUGGUCACUUGGCUGUGACCCAGAACACACUGUCCUUAGAGUUAACAUACCAAGCAAGAAUAGGAGGGUCUUUCCCGGUGGCAGUUUCAAUCUAUAUGAACAUAUACUCCAGCUAUGCAAUGACAAGGACCUUUUUGGGAAUCGCUGAGUUAUUUUUCAUUUGGAGGCAUGGGGACAUAGUGUCAGCUGUGGUGGCAUCCUUUGUUUUGUGUCACAUUCACCCGAUUCACGCCCCUGGCCAUGAUUGAGGUAGGUUCCAAUGUCAUUUUAUUUCACGAGGGGGUAUUCUGAGGCUUGGCAAGAGGAGAAAGCUUUGUCAUCUGGUCCCCUGCCCAGAGAUUUUUGCUCGGGGCCUGCAGCUCUUCAGUGACUUCACCUCUUCUGGAAGCUUGAGUACUAAGAAACGCCAGUUUUUGGGGGGGGGGGGGAAGUGUUCUGAAGCUUGAAGUUGGACACCUGAGACUGAAGCGCCCAUUCCAGGAUUGUGCCAGUGCAUUGACAUCCUGGAUUGCGGCCUCCAGUAUUGUCUGUGUUUAGUGGGAGACCUAUAGACUGUGGAGGUCAAGGAAGAUGUAUGGCCUCGACUCACACUGGACUGUUGUGUUUGCAUUAGAAGAGUAAAGGUUUCCCGUGUUCUCGCUUUGAUAACUGUUAGAGAGUUAGCCCCUUUGAAGGUAAUCUAAGGAUGUAGUCUCUGGGCCACUAAGAAAUAAGUCCUUAUCACUUGCUGACAAGGUUGUAGAGAGAAACUCUGGUUUGGAAGAGGAAGAAGGGAAGUUUCUCUCUGUGCAUGUGCGUGUGUGUGUGUGUGUGUGUAAGACACCCUUCUGUCACUCCUGUGGUUUCGUUGGGAUGUUUCUAGAGUCCACACGGGCACAGUUGUUACUUGCCUCAGCUAGUGGAAUGAAUGGUCCUAACAUUUACUCAUCCUGUGUUCUCAGUUUCAUAUAAAGUCUGGGAAGGGGAAACUGAGGCUGAAAGAAUGAGCCGUAGAAGCUUACCCCAGUGGCACCCUGCUCAGCAGUGCGUGUCUAGAUUUGGCAAAUGUUCCUUGGAGGAGCUGGGUCAGUGGCUUCUCUGCUGUCCAGCUUCCUAAACAGCCUCUCGGCUGUGCUGUCCCUCCUGGUCUGUUGUUCUCUUUGAGACAGUCUCCCUGUGUCCUCCAGACUGACCUUUAAACUCAUGGUCUUUGUGCCUCAGUCUCCCCAGUGCUGGAAUUACAAGUCUGUGUCGCUAUUCCUGGCUUCCUGUCCCCACUUCUGAUCCGAAUCCCAUUUUCUACUCCAAGCACGACCAUCCCAUCACUGGGCCCGAGGCCCGAGCCCCUUCCAGGUCUGCGGCUCACGAUCCUUACAGUAGCAGGACACCUUCCUGAGUGCUCUGCUGUAGACGUGUGUGUGUGUGUGUGUGUGUGUGUGUGUGUGUGUGUGUGUGUCCUUAGCCUCCUUCACAAUGCUGCAUUCCAGUUCGUAUUCAACAGCCACUGUCUCAGUAGUUCUUCAUAGGACAAGAUCACAGUGCCUGGACCAACUUAGUGAGGAAAAGACAAGCUCUUCUCUUACCGACAAUCCCUUUCCCUUAAGGCUGUGAGGGGCAAGGUCCCCUGUCCGGGUGAUGUGGCUGAAAAAGAAAUAGAGCAUUUCUCUUGCAAGGUUCCCUUGGGUAUGGAAGUUCAUUCCUUACUCCCAGUAUCUGGGAGACAGCGGCAGGCAGAUCUUUGUGAGUUCAAGGCCAGCCUGAUCUAUGUAACAAGUUCUAGGCCAGCCAGGGUUACAUAAAGAGAUUGUGUCUUAGUCAGGGUUUCUAUUCCUGCACAAACAUCAUGACCAAGAAGCAAGUUGGGGAGGAAAGGGUUUAUUCAGCUUACACUUCCACAUUGCUGUUCAUCACCAAAGGAAGUCAGGACUGGAACUCAAGCAGGUCAGGAAGCAGGAGCUGAUGCAGAGGCCAUGGAGGGAUGUUACUUACUAGCUUGCUUCCCCUGGCUUGCUUAGCUUGGUAUCUUAUAGAACCCAAGACCACCAGCCCAGGGCCCUCUUCCCUUGAUCACUAGUUGAGAAAAUGCCUUACAGCUGGAUCUCAUAGAGGCAUUUCCUCAAGGGAGGCUUCUUUCUCUGUGAUAACUCCAGCUUGUGUCAAGUUGACACAUUAAACCAGCCAGUAUAGACUGUGUCUCGGAAGAAUAGAACCAAAUUAAAAAAAAAAAAUCGAAAACUCUUAACUAGGUAAAGCUGAGUGGUAGGAGAAAAUAUGGGGUCAUCUUUUUCUUUCUUUUGAAUAACAGAAAUAUUUUACUAAGGCACAAGGUUUGUAGAAAUGUAUUUUCAGACACGCUAUACAAAAUGGUUGUAAGGAGUGUUUGACGUCUCAGGACAUGCACCCUUGGCAUCAAACCACAUUAGGUUUGAGAUUGUGCUUUUUAGCAUUCUUGUUAUGGUUUGGAUAAUUGAACCUAUUCAUAUGUACAUUAAAUAAAGAUGGACCUGACUAAAGAAUGUAUUCUAAAGAACUAAUUAACUGUGGUUUAUUUAUUUAUUGGCCAAGGGGAUGUAUGCCAGGCCUGACAUCCACAUGGAGGUCGGGAGUCAGUUCUUUUUUUCCACUGUGUGGUUUCUCCCGAUUGACCUCAGGUCACCAGGCAUAGUGGUAACCUUCACCACUUCAGCCAUAUCACUGGCCCUGUUUAGCUGCUUAAAAAACAAAAAUCCUAUUUUUAGAUUAACUUAAUUUUUUUUCUUUUUUUUUUUUCUUUUUUUUUUCGGAGCUGGGGACCGAACCCAGGGCCUUGUGCUUGCUAGGCAAGCGCUCCACCACUGAGCUAAAUCCCCAACCCCUUAACUUAAUUUUUAUGUGAGUGUUUUACCUGUAUAUACGUCUAUUCACCGCAUGCUUGCCCAGUACCCUUGAGGUCAGAAGAGGCUGUUGGAUCUCCUAGAACAGGAGUUACAGAUGGUUGUGAACCACUAUGAGGGUAUUGGGACUCGAACCCGGGGCCCUCUGCAAGAGCUGUCAGGUGCAGCCAUGUUCCUAACAAUGCCAUGAGAUCCUCACAUAAAGGGAAAGGGGAAACAUCCCGUGAAUUUAAAAUAAGACCAAUCUUUCCCUAAAAAUGUGAGAUAAAAAUACCCACACUCCUUCAGUUGGCCUUGACAACUACCUUUAUUCUUAGUCCAUUAUACCUAAGUCAUGAUGCAGAAACAAGCAAAAGUCCAUGCCAUCGCUUUACAGCGUGGUUCAGAACAGGACAGAUUUGCUCGUGUGCAGUUCAUCACCAGAGGACUGAAGAGCCCUGGUCUUUUAUUCUGAUGUUUCUAAGACAGAUUUAUUAAGUGCAAACAAAAAAGAAGGCAGUCUUGGCUGAACAGACGUGGCACAUACUUGGUCAGACUGACUUACAUGCGACUCACCGUGUGGAGUCUGCUCCUGCUUCUACUGUGUAGCGUCGUUGGUUUUCCACAGAUCUGCUAGUUAGUCAUCUGGGUUAAGAGCCCUGAACAAAGGGAUCCGUAGCAGAAUUUGUGUAGAGCUUCAGGGUCGGGGAAUCACUUAUCUUCUAAAACAUCUAAACGUGUUCUUCUCAAUUUAACUAAAUUAGGCUGCUAAUCUGUGGCACAGCCACAUCUACAGCUAAAGUUAUGAAGCUAGCACAGCUGCUUGACAAAGAUCCAGCUGAGCCACGGGAUGCUAUUACGGUCAUGGCGGUCCUUCACUUUUGGUCUUCGUGUCCAUGUGUUGAGUGCUUGGGGGCUUUUAACAUUUUUACACCUUGAGGAUAUUGGAUUGAUGGGAAAAAUUUUUUUAAAGAUGUAUUUAUUUACUAUAUAUAAGUACACUGUAGCUGUCUUCAGAUGCACCAGAAGAGGGCAUCAGAUCCCAUUACAGAUGGUUGUGAACCACCAUGUGGUUGCUGGGAUUUGAACUCAGGACCUCUGGAAGAGCAGUCAAUGCUCUUAACCACUGAGCCAUCUCUCCAGUCCUGAUGGGAAAUUUCUUAUGGAUUAUUCAUUCCCUCUCCCAGGAGCACUGCUUCUAAAGCUUCCUCGGGAAAGUCCUGAGCAGACCACUGCUCCUGCUUUUAGGGAGGUAACACUAUCUAGCCCGACUUGAAGGUCUUCCUUACGCCCUGUAGGUUGCAGCUCAAAGAUGGCAGAGGUCUCCUUGUAAGGCUCUGACUCCAAGACUCUGUAGUUACUCAGGAACAAGAAAAUCAGAACAAGGCAGUUUGGCAGCACAUAAGAUCGGGGUCCUGCAUGUGGUUUACCCCUUGAAGAAAAGACACAGCAACCAAGAUUGGCUGGAAUUAUCUCUGCCCUACACAGGGGCUUAUCCUGAUGGACAAAGAAUGGUGUGGGUAAAUGGAAAAAUAAAGUUAGAAAAG